rnacentral:rRNA from 1 species
UACGGAGGGUGCAAGCGUUACUCGGAAUUACUGGGCGUAAAGCGUGCGCAGGCGGUUUGUUAAGUCUGCUGUGAAAUCCCCGAGCUCAACUUGGGAAUUGCAGUGGAUACUGCAGGCUGGAGUAUGGUAGAGGAAGGUGGAAUUCCCGGUGUAGCAGUGAAAUGCGUAGAGAUCCGGAAGAACACCGGAGGCGAAGGCGGCUGGCUGGACCUGAUCUGACGCUGAGGUGCGAAAGCGUGGGGAGCGAACAGG